rnacentral:misc_RNA from 1 species
GGCUCUAGGCCAUUUUGGCUGAUGAGACCUUUUCCUGACCCGGCAGUGAAAGCUGCCGGGUCAUUUUUUUGUUGCAA